GUAAAACUAGGGCACCAGGCCCAAUCCUCUCUGUCCUCGAGCCCCACGCCAUUCUCUUCCCUAUCUCCGCCGCCUGGCCUCCCCUGCUCCACGGCCGUCCUCCUCAGGGCCUCUCGCGCCGCCGUCUUCUCUGCCGGGCCUCUUCUCCAGCGCUCGAUGUGCAGUCAGGGCGAACUGCGUUCUCGAUCCAGCCGGCUCGGGUGUAGGUCGCCGGCAUCUGGCGCCGCGUGCCGUCAUUGAUUCUGUCUUCCUCCUCUUCUCCAUGCCGCCGCCGCCUCCUCAUCUCCUUUCCUCGAUGUCGCCAGGGCCUCGCCCUCACUGGCUGCGGUGAUGGCGGCGUGGCGGAGCUCGUGGUCGGCCGGAGUCCUCUCCCGCGUCCGUCCCGACGGGGCCGGCGACCUGCAACCAAAGGGUGAUAGCGGCUAGGAGACAGAGAAGAUGAGAGGGAGAGAGAAGAGGAAGGGGACGAGGGAGAAACAGAGAGGAAAGAGGAGACUAAAGCUUUUCCCCCAAUCCCCUCACAGUCGCCGCCCCGAGCUCCUCUUUCCCUCCACUCCCCCGACACUGCCACUUGUGCUCGGCAGAAGGAGUGGCUGCGGAGGGAGGAGGGGGACGGGAAGGGAAGAGUGGGAGGCGCAAGGACGGCGGCGCUCGCCAUCUCUUCUCGUUGCACGUCCCGGGAUGCUAGAGAUUGAGGCCUUGGCAGGAGGAGCUCGAGCCGAGGAGCGCGCCCUCGAUCCGGACUCAGCAUGAGGAGGGGAGCAGCAGCCGCGUUGGCCUCGUCGCAAUGUGUGCAGCAAGCUGAAGACGAGGCAAGAGCGGCGGUCAAGACCACGGUCGCGGCUUCAAGGGCUGCGCACACGUCGAGCACUGGCAAGCGCAUCUCAUGUCGCACACCGAGCCUCGCAAAUAAUCUUAGGAACUUGGCAGAAGCUAUACAUAUGCAAAUAGAGGGUCAGACACAGCUCCAUGAACAGCUAUAGAGCUGACCACAGUCUACAACAUCUAAAAUCCAAAGUCUUCCCCAUCAAAAGAAAGAAGAUUAAGGCUGAAGAUGUUGCGUCUCCUGAUUCACCUCCCUAAUAAAAGGAAAGAAAGAUCCAUCUCUUCAUUAGUGGUCCAUACACGAUCGACUGGACGACGGGCAUGGGUAGUUCUCCUAUAAAAGGGCCUAGGCUACCUGCCCACCUGAGGCACUUGCAGUUGCUGCUGCUUCCGAUCCGCUCGAUUCCCUUGCUGUGUGGUUUUUCUACUGUUCAGGUUUAGUUAAAAGGGAGUCCUGUAGGCAUUUGAAUGGAAACACACACUUCCUGAUUUCCUAUUUUGGGUUCUAUUUGCGGAACUAGAAAAGUAGCACUCAUGGUAGGACACUAGAGUUUGUCACGUGGGUCAACAAAGAGUCGCUAAAAUAAAUAUGCAUUACUGCCUGUGUCAUGGUCUAAAAUCCCGGCACAUGUUUCAGCCAUGGGGUACAACAAAAUGAGGGUGAAAUGAAUCAUUGACGACCAUACAUUUGUAACUAUGGAGCAUGGCACUUACUGUCGUCACCACGUGGUCAUGGCAGACUUUCAAUGAGUAACAUGAGGCCUUUGCGCGAGGGGCGCUAUUUCUAAAUCUUUGGCGAUAUGAAAGGAGUGAACAUUAACGACCCCAUCAACGUCAGUGAUGAAGAAGAUGCCUGCCGCUGCCACCAAGAAUUCAACUCAAGUUUACUUACUGCAAGAAAUACACAGGACCCCAGAUACAUUACCUAAAAUGCUUUGAACGGCAAUGUGUCUAUGCAAGCGGCAAACAACUUUCCAUACGAUGGAGCUAAGUGGACAAACUUUGUCCAUGCAGAAAAGAUUAAGAAAUUUAACAUAUUUGUCUUUAUUUUUUAAGGCGAAGAAGGCCCAGUGUCAGCCACUGUCCAUGGCCUUUCAUAAGAUAGGAUAUGUUGCAGAUCAUCUUCAUGAUAGAACUUUACAAUCAUGGGAUGUUCUAUAGAAAACAAACAAGUAUUAUUGGGAAUUGGACGGUGAUAUGGAAGACAUUUGUGCUUUUGCCAACCAAACGCAUUCACCAUGAAAAGCUGCUUAGACGACGAGGUCAUAUUCAACGCCGAUGGCACAUGCAGCAAUGACUCAACCCGAUGCCCAUGAUUGCAUAUCUUAGUCACCAUAAGCUGAAAUGUUGAAUGACCGGAGCUAUCUAAGAUGCAUCUUUGCCUAUGUAACUUGCGCUUUUUUAAAAGCAAUGUAAAUAAACUAUCAUGAAUUGAUCGUAUACCUUUCUUUUGGCCUAUAUAAACCUACCAUGCAAUGUAAUAUAUAACGAUAUGAAUGAACGUCAUCCCUAAAUAUCAAUUUCCUUA